rnacentral:rRNA from 1 species
AUUGAACGCUGGCGGCAGGCCUAACACAUGCAAGUCGAGCGAGGCGCGGGCGGGUGAGUAAUCUGGGAAAAUCUGCCCGAUGGAGGGGGAUCACUACUGGAAACGAUAGCUAAUCCCGUAUACUCUCAGAUGUGCCCAUAUGGGAUUAGCUUGUUGGUGGGGUAAGGGCUCACCUAGGCGACGAUCCCUAGCUGGUCUGAGAGGAUGACCAGCCACACUGGGACUGAGACACGGUCCAGACUCCUACGGGAGGCAGCAGUGGGGAAUAUUGCACAAUGGGCGCAAGCCUGAUACAGCCAUGCCGCGUGUAUGAAGAAGGCCUUCGGGUUGUAAAGCACUUUCAGCGGGGAGGCGUUACCCGCAGAAGAAGCACCGGCUAACUCCGUGCCAGCAGCCGCGGUAAUAC